UUACGACCAUAUCACGUUGAAACACCGGUUCUCGCAGGAUCACCGAAGUUAAGCAACGUCGAGCCUGACAAGUACCUAGAUAUGUGACUACUUGGAAAUACCAGGUGCU